GCUUUUUUAUUGCACACUUUUUUGAAGGAUGUCCUAUGGGUAAUCUCUUAAAUUAGAAAAACAAUAUACUUUUUUACGUGCUAGAUUUAUAAGGCUAGGGUAGAUACCACACCUUCUGUGUUUACAGGCUUAACAUAUCAGUCAGAAAAGAUGUAUUUUGAGUGUCUCCUAUUUUAUUUUUGUUAAAACGUUUAUAGAAAAUGCUUAUUUUAUAGUUGGUUGUUAUUGAGACUAUAUUUCUUCAAGGAUUCCCUAUACUUUAGGAAUUUUUUUG
rnacentral:lncRNA from 1 species